AUGACCUGCAGCCCAAGAGUUUCUUUUCGUUUUACGGUGGCCGUAGAUGGCAACGGAGAAGGUAAACAGUGUGGGCCAUUUGGAGUAUUGGGCUGCACAUGCGUUCAGGCAGUGGGCUUUAUGGUUGGUGUUAGCAUUAGCAAACGAAAAAAUAAGGCGACUGAUAGGCGCCGGUGCGCCGGCCCAAAUUUGGGCAGGUCGCACCAACAAUGUCCGAUUAAACAAUCAUUAGCCGCCCUAUUGCCUUCCUUCCUUCCUGCAAUCGUCUUCUUUCAGAAAAAUUCUCCAUCGCGCCGCCAUUAA
rnacentral:rRNA from 1 species